rnacentral:rRNA from 1 species
CCUCAAAUCAGGUAGGACUACCCGCUGAACUUAAGCAUAUCAAUAAGCGGAGGAAAAGAAACUAACMAGGAUUCCCUUAGUAACUGCGAGUGAAGAGGGAAAAGCUCAAAUUUAAAAUCUGGCAGCUUUACUGUUGUCCGAAUUGUAAAUUAGAGAAGUGCUAUCCGCGCUGGACUGUGCAAAAGUCUCUUGGAAAAGAGCAUCAUAGAGGGUGACAAUCCCGUCUUUGGCAUAGAACCCAGGGCUUUUGUGAUACGCUCUCGAAGAGUCGAGUUGUUUGGGAAUGCAGCCCUAAAUGGGUGGUAAAUUCCAUCUAAAGCUAAAUAUUGGCGAGAAACCGAUAGCGAACAAGUACCGUGAGGGAAAGAUGAAAAGAACUUUGAAAAGAGAGUUAAACAGUACGUGAAAUUGUUGAAAGGGAAACGCUUGAAGUCAGUCUUGUGCUUCAGAAAUCAACCUGACUUUUGUUGGAUGCACUUUCUGUUGUACAGGUCAGCAUCAAUUUUGAUCAUUGGAUAAAGGCUCGAGGAAAGUGGCAUCCUCGGAUGUGUUAUAGCCUCGAGUUCAGAUACAAUGGUUGGGAUUGAGGAACUCAGUGUGACAAUAGUUUGGAGGGGUAUACCUCUCACAUUACGCACUUAGGAUGCUGGCAUAUA